GCCUUCGUGGCACAACUGGUCAGCGCGUGAGACUUUUAUGUGGCACUUCCUCUAAGAGGAAUCUCAAGGUUGCGAGUUCGAGCCUCGCCGAAGGCG
rfam:Pneumocystis jirovecii, SE8, WGS project CAKM01000000 data, contig: 265